AGAGUUUGAUCAUGGCUCAGAAUGAACGCUGGCGGCGUGCCUAACACAUGCAAGUCGCACGAGAACGUUUCAGCUUGCUGAAGCUAGUAAAGUGGCGCACGGGUGAGUAACGCGUGGGUAAUCUACCUCCGAAUUGGGGAUAACAUUGCGAAAGCGAUGCUAAUACCGGAUAAUAUCUCAAGUACUUCGGUGCCUGAGAUCAAAGGUGGCCUCUGCAUGGAAGCUACUGUUUGGAGAUGAGCCCGCGUACCAUUAGCUUGUUGGUAGGGUAAUGGCCUACCAAGGCGACGAUGGUUAGCUGGUCUGAGAGGAUGAUCAGCCACACUGGAACUGAAACACGGUCCAGACUCCUACGGGAGGCAGCAGUGAGGAAUUUUGCGCAAUGGGGGAAACCCUGACGCAGCAACGCCGCGUGAGUGAUGAAGGCCUUCGGGUCGUAAAGCUCUGUCAAGUGGGAAGAACCUGCCCUGUGCUAAUAUCACCGGGCAUUGACGGUACCACUGAAGGAAGCACCGGCUAACUCCGUGCCAGCAGCCGCGGUAACACGGAGGGUGCAAGCGUUAUUCGGAAUCACUGGGCGUAAAGAGCGCGUAGGCGGUUUCUUAAGUCAGAUGUGAAAGCCCGGGGCUUAACCCCGGAAGUGCAUUUGAAACUAAGGGACUUGAGUAUGGGAGAGGGAAGUGGAAUUCCUGGUGUAGCGGUGAAAUGCGUAGAUAUCAGGAGGAACACCGGUGGCGAUGGCGACUUCCUGGACCAAUACUGACGCUGAGGCGCGAAGGCGUGGGGAGCAAACAGGAUUAGAUACCCUAGUAGUCC
rnacentral:rRNA from 1 species